AUCAGAACGAGAGCAGUGGCUCAUCCAGUGCUGUAUACAGGCCAAGAGUCUGGUAGUUUGAUGUUUUACAUUUCCUGAAAGACUUCAUUACACCACGCGAAAGCCGGUGUAACAUUCCGAACAGUGUUGUGCCUCACAACUCUGGUACAGAAAUCCCGAGGACUAGGAAGACGCCUGACAACUCAGUGAUAGAAAUCAACAGGACUGAGAUCAUAAUUUUUUAUGAUGAGAGUAGUAAUAUCGAUAGCCCACCAUGUACAUCAAAUAGUGAACGCCCAGAUAUCACAAUUGAUAAUAUGGAUGUGGUGGUAGUUAACAACAGUGCUGAAUUUGAGGUGCCUAGUACUCCAGUGGUUUCUGGUGCAUAUUCCACUACACCAAAAGUUCGGAAGAUGAGAAAGAGUGAUAGUAAUCCCUUACUAAAUACAGUACUGGAGAACUUAAACUCAAAAUUAACCCAAAAGGCAUUAGACCCAUCUCCACAUGAUGCUUUGGGACACUUCAUUGUUGAAGAGUUGUCCAGAAUACGAAAUCCAAUGACUGUGAGAGACACAAAACAUAAGAUACUGAAAUUUAUCAUGGAAGCUCAAAUAAUGGAUGAUAAUUGUUGAAUUGU